ensembl:lncRNA
AUGAUUUCUUUUCAUUAUGUUUUAGAAAACCUAAAAAAUGGCAAAAGUUCACUGGACCAUUUUUUUGGUCUUCUGGGUGGGGUCAUGAUUGGCACCUCUGGCCAUAGGCCAUGUGUUAUCAUGAACCUCACCACAGAGGAAUUCCUAUCAGCCAAAGAGGGCAAGGAUGGCCAUGCCAUUUUUGUCAAAAACCACAAAACGAACAACACUUUCGGCCAUGCAAUACUCCCCAUAACAAAUGGGGAGUACAAUUGCAUGGCAGAGUUCCUUAAAAUUCGUGGUAGCUUUGAAGGGAGCCAGUCAGCCCACUUCUUUUUUAAUAAAAAGGGUGGGCUGUAUAAGGGCCUCCUCAAGGCCUUCAUGAAUGUAUGGGAAGAUAUGGGCCUUCCAAAACCUGCCCCAACCUUUAUGAGCCUCAGAACAUCAAUGUCCACGCAGGUUCAGAAGCAUCUUAGCCUGAAAGAGGUACAGAAUGCCACAGCGCUCAUGUGCCACAGACCACAAACUGCGCUUAAAUUUUAUAAAGCCUAUUGCUCCGUGGAAGAAGCUUUGGAGCUGAGAAAAAGUAUGACUAAAUCAAUUAAAUGUGGCGAGGGACUCUCCAGGAAACAGGUCAUUGCACACCACACCACCACUGCACAUUUUUGAUGUCUCUCAUUGUUUCUUUAAAUGUAUUUCUGUGUCUACAUGUCAAACAGAAACAUGAAGUUAUGAAGUAUUCUAAUUUGUUGAGAUUGUGAAUUGAUGGGUUUUUGUUAAAUUUGAGCCAAAAUCAUCACAAUUAAAAGAACCACAGACUUAAACUACUUCAAUCUGUGUGCAUUGAAUUUAUUUGAGUUACUCGACUACUCGUGGUUCA